CUUUGUUCUUCCGUUUCUAAAUUGUACUGAUUCCCUCGACGCGGCGUUCGAGGUUAGCUAAGGCUCCCCCCCCCCAUCUCCUCCACCGACCUUGCUGGCUAAGUGGGGCGCGCGGAAGUACCGGUGUUCGUCAGGGGGGCGUCACAAGUAAAAGGUUGAGAACCGCUGGCCUACAUCUUGGAAGAAAUCACGCGAUGGAUACAGCGUUCUGUUAAGCACUAGUGAUCACAGUUCUGUUCAUGGACUAAAGAAGACGACGGCUGUCUCCCUCUACCCUUGCACCUGCGGAAGAUGUAGUAUGCCAGAAUUUAUAAUAACCAUAGGCGAUGUUUGGCAAGGAUCUUAUUGGGUGUUAGAGCCACAGCAAAGAUGAAGUUGGCAUUUCAAAAGUCUUCACUUGGUGAAGUCGAAUGCACGAGCGACACGUCAUCUGACCAUUUCUCAGAAAUUGGACACGAAAACGAAUAUAUAUCCCAAAGCUUGUGGGUAGAAAAAGCAGCGUCGCUCUUCCGAUUUGGUUCAUCGUUGUGACAGGCACACUGUGGUGAUGAUCAUCGCAAGAAGACCUCAUCACUUCAGUAAAUUGGAUAUUGCAGAAAAGUAUCGGCUCGUCAAUAACACUCUUUGAGACGAACCAGGCUGAUCCAGAAUCAUACAGAAAUGGGACUUAUGAAAGACAUCUCUGGAAUGGUCAAGACUUAUUUUUCAUUAGUUACAUUUGCUGUAAUUGCCGUCGCAGACUACAUAUGGGAGGAUAAGUAUUUUACCUGUCCAUGUGUGGACAAAAGUAUGAGAAUCACCUAUUCUGUGGCGUUUUUAUUGUCGCCGGCCAUUUUUCUUCUUCUUGCCGAUUCCAACUGCAGGGUACUUUCUAUCACAUGUAAAAACUGCUGUAGUGAGAAAUUCUGCAGAAGGCGGUCAGGUAUUACUCGCCCUUGUAUCCUCGCAGGAGCCUGGAUAAUCUAUAGUGUCAUGGACCCACGG